UACGGGAGGCAGCAGUGGGGAAUAUUGCACAAUGGGCGCAAGCCUGAUGCAGCCAUGCCGCGUGUAUGAAGAAGGCCUUCGGGUUGUAAAGUACUUUCAGUCGUGAGGAAGGUGUUAAGGUUAAUAACCUUAGCAAUUGACGUUAGCGACAGAAGAAGCACCGGCUAACUCCGUGCCAGCAGCCGCGGUAAUACGGAGGGUGCGAGCGUUAAUCGGAAUUACUGGGCGUAAAGGGCACGCAGGCGGUUAAUUAAGUUGGAUGUGAAAUCCCCGGGCUUAACCUGGGAAUGGCAUUCAAGACUGGUUAGCUAGAGUCUUGUAGAGGGGGUAGAAUUCCAUGUGUAGCGGUGAAAUGCGUAGAGAUGUGGAGGAAUACCGGUGGCGAAGGCGGCCCCUGGGACAAGACUGACGCUCAUGUGCGAAAGCGUGGGGAGCAAACAGGGAUUAGAUACC
rnacentral:rRNA from 1 species